UGCCAAGGUGUCUACCCUGGAGCUGAGGACUUCGGGACUCCUGAAAGCUGCAGACUGAGGGUUACUUGCUGUGAGAUCAGACCAAUGAAAUGGAAUUUGCAUUGUGAUGUGAACAAAGGAGCAUAAAUCAUACAUGACAAAAGGCAUUGUGGCAAAGUUUUGGACAUUAUUGACUACUGCAUCAAGCUGCCAGAUGGUGUGGAAUCAUUUACACUACCUCAAAGUGCUGCUGAAUUUUAAGCAGGCUUUAAGUAAGAUUAUGCUCAGCAUUUUGUCUUCUUUGCAUUCUUGGCUACAUUCUCAGCCCAUUUGAUCCUCGUGUGGAAUA